GACGAACGCUGGCGGCGUGCUUAACACAUGCAAGUCGAACGGAAAGGCCCUGCUUUUGUGGGGUGCUCGAGUGGCGAACGGGUGAGUAACACGUGAGUAACCUGCCCUUGACUUUGGGAUAACUUCAGGAAACUGGGGCUAAUACCGGAUAGGAGCUCCUGCUGCAUGGUGGGGGUUGGAAAGUUUCGGCGGUUGGGGAUGGACUCGCGGCUUAUCAGCUUGUUGGUGGGGUAGUGGCUUACCAAGGCUUUGACGGGUAGCCGGCCUGAGAGGGUGACCGGCCACAUUGGGACUGAGCUACGGCCCAGACUCCUACGGGAGGCAGCAGUGGGGAAUAUUGCACAAUGGGCGGAAGCCUGAUGCAGCAACGCCGCGUGCGGGAUGACGGCCUUCGGGUUGUAAACCGCUUUCGCCUGUGACGAAGCGUGAGUGACGGUAAUGGGUAAAGAAGCACCAGCUAACUACGUG
rnacentral:rRNA from 1 species